GGCUGGUCUGAGUGCAGUGAUGUUUACAACUAAUUGGUCACAUUCAGUUACAGAUUUAUUUGUUCCUUCUCCAUUCCCACUGCUUCACUUGACUAGCCUUCA
ensembl:misc_RNA Y_RNA Y RNA